GGAAGGGUGGCAGAGUGGUCGAUUGCACCGGUCUUGAAAACCGGCAACACCGAAAGGUGUUCCAGGGUUCGAAUCCCUGCCCUUCCG
rnacentral:tRNA from 3 species